GGCACUUUUGGCCUUGUGACGAACGAUACUGAGGACAUUUGGUCUCUCUGCUCAUCUUCAUAUUGUACCUGGGUCUGCCUCACACCGCAACCCAUCUCAGACUGCACUAGAGGAAAGGAGGCUUGCAAAUACCUGAACAAUGCGCUUCCAUGGCUGGAUGGCUUCCUACCUCCAACCCCCAAGGCUACAUCUUGCCCCACAUUUCCUUGGCACCCACCCCCAAAAGGAAACAGUAGCUACCAGCCCCCGCCAGGCACUGUCUUCUUGAGAUGCAGCUGAAUAAUCAAUUACUGGGUGUCUGGAGACAAAGACCACUGUUUCCUUGCAAAGGAGAGGAGGGACGGUGCGGCCACAUCUGGCAAUUCGGUGGCUGGGGGCGAGGAC